UACGUAGGGGGGCUAGCGUUGUCCGGAUUUAUUGGGCGUAAAGAGCGUGUAGGCGGCCAGAUAGGUCUGCUGUGAAAACUCGAGGCUCAACCUCGAGAUGUCGGCGGAAACCAUUUGGCUAGAGUACGGAAGAGGCGAGUGGAAUUCCUGGUGUAGCGGUGGAAUGCGCAGAUAUCAGGAGGAACACCAAUAGCGAAGGCAGCUCGCUGGGACGUUACUGACACUGAGGCGCGAAAGCGUGGGGAGCGAACAGG
rnacentral:rRNA from 1 species